rnacentral:rRNA from 1 species
AUGGGUCGGCAGAAAAUUUGGAGGGAUAGGAUUGAUGCCCACAACAGAUUGAUCAGGCAUUAUUUUGCGGAGAAUUCCACAUACCCCGAGUCGUAUUUUCGUCGCUGGUUUAGGAUGAGCACCGAGUUGUUCAGGCACAUUGCAGAGAAACUAGCGAGCCAUGACCGCUUUUUUCAGCAAAGGAGGAAUGCCGCCGGAGAGCUCGGGCAUAGCACUUUUCAGAAGGUGACAGCCGCUUUGCGUAUGUUGGCAUACGGUAUACCGGCUGAUCUAGUUGAUGAUCACUAG